rnacentral:rRNA from 1 species
UGGGGAAUAUUGCACAAUGGGCGCAAGCCUGAUGCAGCCAUGCCGCGUGUAUGAAGAAGGCCUUCGGGUUGUAAAGUACUUUCAGUCGGGAGGAAGGUGGUAAGGUUAAUAACCUUAUCAAUUGACGUUACCGACAGAAGAAGCACCGGCUAACUCCGUGCCAGCAGCCGCGGUAAUACGGAGGGUGCAAGCGUUAAUCGGAAUUACUGGGCGUAAAGCGCACGCAGGCGGUUGAUUGAGUCAGAUGUGAAAUCCCCGGGCUUAACCCGGGAAUUGCAUCUGAUACUGGUCAGCUAGAGUCUUGUAGAGGGGGGUAGAAUUCCAUGUGUAGCGGUGAAAUGCGUAGAGAUGUGGAGGAAUACCGGUGGCGAAGGCGGCCCCCUGGACAAAGACUGACGCUCAGGUGCGAGAGCGUGGGGAGCAAACAGG